AUACUACUUUAAACAUAAAUAUUACAUUCAGUCCUGUGACCCUGCGCGAGUGUUGAUUUAUUUUUUGAGUGUUCUGUGCGGGAGUGGAGCACUUUUUUGGCUUGAUUGUGCUGGAGCUCAAUGUGUGCGUGAAAAUUCCGAAACAGAAAGUGCAGCCCUCCAAAUAACCAAAUAAAAAACACGUGCCAGUCUCUCGGUGCCCAAUCCAGAGAGUCCGAGGUAAUUGAAUAAUCGAUCCACAAUCACGAGUCAAUGUGUGAAGGCAGACUCUUCAGCGGCUGUGAAGGAGAGUAAUUGAUAAUAUUGAAUGCUGGCAGGACAUUGCCAAGUGAAAUCCAUUAGUUGCCUGGCAAUCACCUGUGAGCCGGAGAGUCAAU